rnacentral:rRNA from 1 species
UACAGAGGGUGCGACCGUUGCUCGGAAUUACUGGGCGUAAAGCGUGUGUAGGCGGCUAUGUAAGUCGGAUGUGAAAGCCCCGGGCUCAACCUGGGAAUUGCAUUUGAGACUGCAUAGCUAGGGUGCGGAAGAGGGAAGCGGAAUUUCCGGUGUAGCGGUGAAAUGCGUAGAUAUCGGAAGGAACAUCAGUGGCGAAAGCGGCUUCCUGGUCCAGCACCGACGUUCAGGCACGAAAGCGUGGGGAGCAAACAGG